rnacentral:sRNA from 1 species
AUACAUUCAGUUAUAGCGUAGAUAGAGGGUGAAAUACAUUCAGUUAUAGCGUAGAUAGAGGGUGAAAUACAUUCAGUUAUAGCGUAGAUAGAGGGUGAAAUACAUUCAGUUAUAGCGUAGAUAGAGUUUGAAAUACAUUCAGUUAUAGCGUAGAUAGAGUUUGAAAUACAUUCAGUUAUAGCGUAGAUAGAGGGUGAAAUACAUUCAGUUAUAGCGUAGAUAGAGGGUGAAAUACAUUCAGUUAUAGCGUAGGUAGAGGGUGAAAUACAUUCAGUUAUAGCGUAGGUAGAGUUGUAAAUACGUUUUCAAAAAACGCACAUUUGAUGGUUAAUUUGCUUAAAUAAUCAAAUGAAUAGACAAUACUUUGCACAUUCACGAGUAAAACUUUAAAAAAAAUUUUUAGCGAAGAUUAGAACUUAGAAUUAGAUAUUAGAUCUAGCCUUGGCGAAUCAAGUGAAAUGCUAAUUUUCGUCACUGACCUAAAUCUUCUAGGCCUACACACACACAAAAAGCACAACAUGAUUUAGGUUUGAUUACACAGCAGUUGUAAAGAAAUAACAACUCUUAACUAUUCAAAUUAAUGUAAAUGUAAAACGUAUUUUUUCAGAUAAAUAAAUGUAAAGAAUAUAAAUGCCACUGUACUCUGACUGUACAUUUGUACUUAUUGGGACAAGAAUGUAGGCUACAUCUAAAAACAAAUACUUUAGUAGGCGUGACCUAGAUAUAAUUGAAAGUUGAGAGUUCCAUUUUCGAUUCAAUUAAAUCUGAAAUAAAGAUUUAUAAUUAAAGUAAA